rnacentral:rRNA from 1 species
UACAGAGGUGCCAAGCGUUGUUCGGAUUUAUUGGGCGUAAAGGGUGCGUAGGCGGUAAUAUAAGUCGGGUGUGAAAUUUCGGAGCCUAACUCCGAAACUGCAUUCGAAACUGUAUUGCUCGAGGUCUGGAGAGGUAAUUGGAAUUCUUGGUGUAGCAGUGAAAUGCGUAGAUAUCAAGAGGAACACCAGAGGCGAAAGCGAAUUACUGGACAGAACCUGACGCUGAGGCACGAAAGCUAGGGUAGCAAACGGG